UACGAGGGGGGCAAAUGUUGUUCGGAAUCACUGGGCGUAAAGGGCGCGUAGGCGGCGCGGUAAGUCACUUGUGAAAUCUCUGAGCUUAACUCAGAACGGCCAAGUGAUACUGCAGUGCUAGAGUGCAGAAAGGGCAAUCGGAAUUCUUGGUGUAGCGGUGAAAUGCGUAGAUAUCAAGAGGAACACCUGAGGCGAAGGCGGGUUGCUAGGCUGACACUGACGCUGAGUGCGCGAAAGCCAGGGGAGCAAACGGG
rnacentral:rRNA from 1 species